rnacentral:rRNA from 1 species
CGCGAAUGGCUCAUUAUAACAGCUAAAAUCUACUUGAUCUUGACACAAUCCUACUUGGAUAACUGUGGUAAUUCUAGAGCUAAUACAUGCAUUAAAGCUCUGACCUUAGGGGAAGAGUGCAUUUAUUAGAACAAAACCAAGCGGCUUCGGCUGUUUUCGGUUGACUCAUAGUAACUGAGCUGAUCGCAUGGUCUUGCACCGGCGACGUGUCUUUCGAGUAUCUGCCGUAUCAACUUUCGAUGGUAGUGUAUCUGACUACCAUGGUGAUCACGCGUAACGGAGAAUAAGGGUUCGACUCCGGAGAGUUCGCCUGAGAAAUCGCGAACACAUCUAAGGAAGGCAGCAGGCGCGAAAAUUACCCACUCUCAGCACGAGGAGGUAGUGACGAAAAAUAACGAGACCGUUCUCUUAUGAGGCCGGUCAUCGGAAUGGGUACAAUUUAAACCCUUUAACGAGUAUCUAUGAGAGGGCAAGUCUGGUGCCAGCAGCCGCGGUAAUUCCAGCU